GACGAACGCUGGCGGCGUGCUUAACACAUGCAAGUCGAACGAUGAAGCUGGAGCUUGCUCCGGUGGAUUAGUGGCGAACGGGUGAGUAACACGCGAGAAAUCUGCCCUUGACUUUGGGAUAACUGCGGGAAACUGUAGCUAAUACCGGAUAUUUUCCUUGGUGGGCAUCCACUGGGGAAGAAAGAAUUUCGGUCAAGGAUGAUCUCGCGGCCUAUCAGCUAGUUGGUGGGGUAAUGGCUCACCAAGGCGACGACGGGUAGCCGGCCUGAGAGGGUGACCGGCCACACUGGGACUGAGACACGGCCCAGACUCCUACGGGAGGCAGCAGUGGGGAAUAUUGCACAAUGGGCGCAAGCCUGAUGCAGCAACGCCGCGUGAGGGAUGAAGGCCUUCGGGUUGUAGACCUCUUUUAGCAGGGAAGAAGCGAAAGUGACGGUACCUGCAGAAAAAGCACCGGCUAACUACGUGCCAGCAGCCGCCGUAA
rnacentral:rRNA from 1 species